rnacentral:piRNA from 1 species
UACACUACUAAGGAGCUUAAUGAGUUUGC